UACGAAGGGUGCAAGCGUUAAUCGGAAUUACUGGGCGUAAAGGGUGCGUAGGCGGUUCGUUAAGUCUGUCGUGAAAUCCCCGGGCUCAACCUGGGAAUGGCGAUGGAUACUGGCGGGCUAGAGUGCGGUAGAGGAUGGCGGAAUUCCCGGUGUAGUAGUGAAAUGCGUAGAGAUCGGGAGGAACAUCCGUGGCGAAGGCCGCCAUCUGGACCAGCACUGACACUGAGGCACGAAAGCGUGGGGAGCAAACAGG
rnacentral:rRNA from 1 species